UAAUCACACAUGUGAGUUUUUGCCGGCUUCUGGGGAACAAGAAGAAAAAAAAAAAAAAAGCAAAUUCCACCUACCCCACCCAAAAAUAUUUAGUAAGUACCAGAAUACUGCUGGAAGCUGUGAACCAUUCCUACAGGUGCUGGCAGUACUGCAGAAGACCUGUCUCCACAAAAAUUCAGAACGAUUAUUUGCAUUUUUCCUGGUUGUAUUCAUCAUAUAGACACAGGAACUUUAUAAGGAAUUGAACUCGAGGCCUCACACUUGCCAGGAAGGCACUGAACUGCUAAGCUACACGCUGACCCUUUGUUCUGAAGAGUCACGAGUCAUGUAAUUAUGAGUGGAAGUGUCCUCUUAAUUUUAUUUUCAGAUUGCUCUUUACAGAUACAUAAAAUAUAAAUUAUUUUAUGCAUUGUAUUAUGCCAAUUUGAAGAGUUAAUUAGUAAUAAUAAAUUGUAACAGAUUUUCUCAAUAUGAUGUCAUUUCCAAAAAGUGAUAGUUACUUCUGUUUCAAUCUUGAUUCCUUUCGUUAUUUUUUUUCUUGCCAGUUAUUGUAUCUAGAACCUCCAGUACAGUGCUGAAUAAAAAUAACAAAAACAUA